CCCUAAUGUUGUCUGUGGUCAGUCCUGUAUCCGUAGCCUAGACAUAGUGUGUGAUUGAGGUCCGUAGCCUAGACAUAGUGUGUGGUUGAGGUCCGUCCCGUAGCCUAGACGUAGUGUGUGGUUGAGGUCCGUAGCCUAGACAUAGUGUGUGGUUGAGGUCCGUGGCCUAGACGUAGUUGUGGUUGAGGUCCGUCCUGUAUCCGUAGCCUAGACGUAGUGUGUGGUUGAGGUCCGUAGCCUAGACGUAGUGUGUGGUUGAGGUCCGUCCCGUAUCCGUAGCCUAGACGUAGUGUGUGGUUGAGGUCCGUCCCGUAUCCUAGACGUAGUGUGUGGCUGAGAUCCGUCCCGUAUCCGUAUCCUAGACGUAGUGUGUGGUUGAGGUCCAUGGCCUAGACGUAGUGUGUGGUUGAGGUCCGUCCUGUAUCCGUAGCCUAGACGUAGUGUGUGGUUGAGGUCCGUCCCGUAUCCUAGACAUAGUGUGUGGCUGAGGUCCGUCCCGUAUCCGUAGCCUAGACGUAGUGUGUGGUUGAGGUCCGUCCCGUAUCCUAGACGUAGUGUGUGGCUGAGGUCCAUCCCGUAUCCGUAUCCUAGACGUAGUGUGUGGUUGAGGUCCGUCCCGUAUCCGUAUCCUAGACGUAGUGUGUGGUUGAGGUCCGUCCCGUAUCCGUAUCCUAGAUGUAGUGUGUGGUUUCGAUUUGGUUUGGGUAGGUCUCACACACCUCAUGAGCCAUCAGACUCACUAAUAAUACUGCACACAUAUGAGGCUUUAUUGUUGCUAUCAUAUCUCUCUGACCUGAGUAGUAUAUUUGACUAAUGUUGUAUCUCUCUACCCUAUGUGAGUCUGAAGUAUAUUGUUU
ensembl:lncRNA